rnacentral:rRNA from 1 species
UACGAAGGGGGCUAGCGUUGCUCGGAAUCACUGGGCGUAAAGGGUGCGUAGGCGGGUCUUUAAGUCAGGGGUGAAAUCCUGGAGCUCAACUCCAGAACUGCCUUUGAUACUGAGGAUCUUGAGUCCGGGAGAGGUGAGUGGAACUGCGAGUGUAGAGGUGAAAUUCGUAGAUAUUCGCAAGAACACCAGUGGCGAAGGCGGCUCACUGGCCCGGUACCGACGCUGAGGUGCGAAAGCGUGGGGAGCAAACAGG